rnacentral:lncRNA from 1 species
GGGCUAUGGAGUGGAUUGCCACAGCUGAGAGAACCCUGAGAGGAAGUCUGGCCCCAUCGUAGAAGCAAGAUGCCAUUGCUGAGAAGCGCGAGGGGAGGAAGGAUGGACCACCAUAGGAAUCUCUUCCCCUGCACAUGCACAGAUUCUCAUAGGGCUGGGUGCCUCUGGUGCAAGCUAUGGAUGGUAAGGCACCACUUACAUGUGCAACGGGGCACCUCUUGUAUGGGCUAUGGGUGGCCAGGCACUUCUUGUGUGGGUUAAGGGCAGCAAGGAGCUAAGAACAAUGUGGCAUUUCUUGCAUGAUCCACAGGUGGCAGGGACAAACCACAGAAGUCAUCUCAGAAACCAAAGUGGGGCAUGGUUCACCACCACUUAAGGGUCUGUGAACAGGCUCCACCUGUGGUCCCAGUCACCUCAGAGGUUGGCAAAGAAGAGGGCACUGCAGCUAAACUCCCACAGGAACGCACCAACACUGCUGCUGCCAUGUCAAACACUACAGACACUGCAUACACAUGCUUGAUCACUGUCACUUCCCAGGACCCUGAAUCUAGAAGCAGCCUGUGCAGCACCUACUGCAUGGGCUAAGCAGGGCUGGGUGCUUCUUGUGUGGUCUACAGCUGACAGGGGCAAACAACCACAGUUAUCUUUGACUCCAGAGGUGGGCAUGACCCACCACGAACAGGGGUCCAUGGACAGGCACCAACUGCAGCCCCAAUCACCUCAGAGGGCACCACAGAGGGGGGCAUUGUGACUGAAUACCACCCACUGUUGUUCUCACUCCCCUGAGAACUCGCACACCCAUCCCCUGCCACUGCCAAAUGCUCCAAGCACUGUCUAAAUCAGCCUGAGGCUCAUUACCACUUCCCAGAGCCCUUCAAUUAAGAGUAGCCUGGACCAUAUUCCAGCAGGUUCUUGCACUGUCAAGAACCCAGGACUAGGCACUGGCUACUGGCCCGGCCCACUGCCUCCUUCUCCCUGGAAACACAUGCAGCACCCUAUCAAGGGGAAAAGAGCCUGCUCACACUAAGGAAAGAGACAGCAAAUAUCCAAGCUUCCACACCAAAAAUAAGCAAUAAUGCCUCGCAAAAUGCAAAGGGGUGCUCUUGCCCAGAAAUAGCCCUCCAAGACUACAGUAGUUGGUUUCUGUAAACUCAGAGAAAAAGAAAAAUUAAAAUGAAGAAGCUCAGGAAACAUUCCCAGUUAAAAGAACAGGAGAGUUCACCUGAAGCAGGAAACAAUGAAACAGACUUCUGCAGUUUAAGAGACACUGAGUUUGAAACACAAAUAGUGAAAAUACUGAAAGAAUUAAGGGUAAAUAUGAAGGAAUUAAGAGCAGAUAUAAACAGUAAUGCAGAUUACUUUAGAAAGGAACUAGAAAAUAUAAGGAGAAACACAGAAAAACUAGAAAAUUCAUUUUUAGAGAUGCAAACUGAGUUAAAGACACUAAAAAGCAGAAUGAAUAAUGAAGUAAAUUGGAAGAUAGAAUAAUAGAAAUAACCCAAUCAGGAGAGCAGAGAGAAAACAAAAUUUAAAAAAGGAAAAAAAGACAGCAAUAUAAGAGGUCUAAGGGAUACUAUAAAGCAGGCCAACCUACACAUAAUAGGGAUUCCAGAAUGAGAAUAAAAAUAAAUGGGGAUUGAAAAUGUAUUGGAAAAAAUUAUGCCUGAAAACUUUCCAAAUCUAAGGAAACAGAUAUUAAGAUACAGGAAGCAUAGAGGGCUGCAAAAAAGUUGAGCCCAAACAGGCCCACCCAAGACAUAUUAUAAUAAAAAUGGAAAAGUUUAAAAAUAAAGAGAGGAUUCUAAAGGGAGCAAGAUAAAAACAAAGUGUUCAUUAUGAGGAAACCCUCAUAAGUCUAUGAGCUGAUUUCUCUACAGAAACAUUAAAGGCCAGAAGAGAGUGUCAGGAUACAUUUAAAAUACUAAAAGGGAAAAACUUGCAACCUAGAAUACUCUACCCAGCAAGAAUAUCAUUUAAAAUAGAAGACAAAAAAAAAAAUUUCUCCAACAAAUAAGACCAAAAAAGUAAAGCAAUACUAAACCCAUUCUAAAAAUAUAUACUGAAAGAGAUCCUUUAAAUGAAAAAGAAGAAAAAAUAGGAUGCAGGGAAUCACAAAUGGAAAGCAAUCACUUAAAUAAGCCAGUAUACAGAUGUAAAAGGAAAAAACAAAGCUAUUGUAAAAGUCAAUGAUAAACACAAGCAAUAGCAAAAGGACAAACCUGAAGAUGUUAAAAAAGGACUUUAAAUUCACAAAUUGUGGGAAAGGAAGUAAGAAAAUCUGGUAUUUUUUUUUAAGAAUGUGAUGGAGCCUACAUGACUAUCAGACUAAAGAAAGCAGGCAUAGGAAGGGGUUAACAUACUUGAAAAACAUGGCAGCCACAAAUCAAAACCAAACAUUAUAUUCAUAAAAUACAAAAAUAAAAGGACACAGCAUAAAAUAAAAGUAAAUCAACUAAUCAAAAAAAAGGGAACAAAGGAAAAACAUAGAAUCAGCUGGAAAACAAGGUUUAAAAUGGCAAUAAAUGCACACUUAUCAAUAAUUAUCUUAACUGCCAAUGGACUGAAUGCUCCAAUCAAAAGACAUAGAGUGGUAGAUUGGAUAAAAAAGCAAAAGCCUAUAACAUGCUGUCUACAAGAGACUCACCUUAAGGCAAAGGACACAUAUAAACUGAAAGUGGGGGGUGGAACAAGACACUUCAUGCAAAUGCAAAAGAUAGGAAAGCAGGAGUUGCAAUACUCAUAUCAGACAAAAUAAACUUUAAAAUGAAGGCCAUAAAGAAAGACCAAGAAGGAAACUAUUUAAUGAUAAAAGAAUCCAUUCAAGAAGAGGAUAUUACAAUUGCCAAUAUAUGUGCCUCUAACAUGGGACUACACAGAUACAUACAAAUAAUAAAUAACAGACAUAAGAGAAAUUAAUGGGAAUAUAAUAAUAAUAGGAGACUUUAACAACCCACUCACAUUAAUGGACAGAUCCUCUAGACAGAAAAUCAAUAAAGAGAUCCUAAAUGGCACAAUAGAAAAGUUAAACUUCAUUGACAUUUUCAGGACAUUACAUACAAAAUAAAUCAGAAUAUACACUAUUUUCAAGUGCACAUGGGACAUUCUCAAGGCCUGACCACAUACCAGGGUGCAAAACUAACCUCAACACAUUUAAGAGUACAGAAACUAUUUCAAGUUUAUUCUCUGACCAUGAUGCCAUAAAACUAGAAAUCAACCAUAGGAAAAGAAAUGAGAAAAAAAAAAAAAAGACUACAGUGAGAUUAAACAACAUGCUAUUAAAAAAACAAUGGGUCAAUGAAGAAAUCAAAAAGGAAAUUUUAAAAAAUACCUUCAGACAAAUGAUAAUGAGGAUACAACCAUUCAAACAUCCAUGGGAUGCUACAGAAGCAGUAAUUAGAGGGAAUUUCAUAGUGAUACAGGCCUUCCUCAGAAAAGAAGAAAAAUUUCAAAUCACUGCCUUAACCUACCACCUAAAAGAAUUAGAAAAAGAAGAACGAACAAAACCUAAAGUCAGUGGAAGGAAAGAAAUCAUAAAGAUUAGAGAGGAAAUAAAUAGAGAUUGAAAAAAAAACAAUAGAAAAAAAUCAUUAAAAGCAAAAGCUGGUUCUUUGAAAGUGUAAACAAAAUUGACACACCUCUGGCCAGACUCACCAAGAAGAGGAGAGAAGGAAGUCAAAUAAACAAAAUAAGAAAUGAAAAAGGAGAAAACUCAAUGCAUACUGCAUAAAAUACAAAAAAAAGAGAAUACUAUGAACAAUUAUAUGCCAAAAAAAUUUGACAACCUAGAAGAAAUAGACAACUUUCUAGAGACAUACAUCCCCCAAAACUGAAUCAAGAAGAAAUAGAUCAAAUGAACAGACCAAUAACUAGAAAUGAAAUUGAAUAUGUAAUAAAAACAGUCCCUAUAAACAAAGGUCCAGGACUGGAUGGAUUCACAGGUGAAUUCCAUCAAACAUACAAAGAAAUUAUACCAUCAUUCUUAAACUUUUACAAAAUGUUGAAGAAGAAGGGACACUCCCAGACAUUCUUUGAAGCCCAUCACCCUAAUAUCAAAACCAGACAAAGAUACUACCAAAAAAGAAAAUUAUAGGCCAAUAUCUUUGGUGAAUAAAGAUGCAAAAAUUCUCAAGAAAAUUUUAGCCAACCGAAUCCAACAACAACUUAUCAAAAAGGUCAAUACACCACGACCAGGUGGGAUUCAUCCCAGGUGCACAAGGAUGGUUCAACAUAUGCAAAUUAAUCAACAUCAUAAACCACAUUACCAAAAUAAAAGUAAAAAACCACAGGAUCUUCUCAACAGAUGCAGAAAAAGCACUUGAUAAAGUCCAACAUCCAUUCAUGAUAAAAACUCUUACCAAAGUGAGUAUAGAGGGAACAUACCUUGACAUAAUCAAAGCCAUUUAUGACAAACCCACAGCAAAUUUAAUACUCAAUGGAGAAAAGCCAAAAGCCUUCCUGCUAUAAUCUGGAUCAAGACAAGGAUGCUCACUCUCACAACUUUUAUUCAACACAGUAUUGUAAGUCAUAACCACAAAAAUCAAACAAAAGAAAUAAAAGCUAUCAAAAUUGGAAGAGAAGAGAUAAAACUGCCAUUCUAUGCAGAUGACAUGAUUUUAUAUAUAGAAAACCCUGAGGACUCUGCACAAAAAUUAUCCCAACUGAUCCAUGAAUUCAGCAAAAGUAGCAGGAUGCAAGAUUAACAUUCAGAAAUCAGUUAUAUUUCUAUAUAUUAACAAUGAAAUAAUAGAAAAGGAAUAUAAAAACACAAUACCUUUUAAUAUUGCACUACAAUAAAUUAAAUACCUAGGUUAAACCUAAGGAGAUGAAAAACUUAUAUGCUGAGAACUAUGAAACACUAAUCAAGGAAAUUAAAGAGGAUUAAAAUAAAUAGAAAGAUAUUGAUCCAUUCUUCCAGGAUCAAAAGAAUUAAUAUUGUAAAAAUGGCCAUACUACCAAAAGCAAUCUACAUCUUCAAUACAAUCCCUAUCAAAUCACUCAUGACAUUUUUCACAGAACUAUAACAAACAAUGCAAAAAUUUAUAGGGAACCAUAAAAUAACCAGAAUUACUACAGCAAUCCUGAGCAACAAAAACCAAGCAGGAGGCAUCACUCUCCCAGAUUUCAGACAAUAUUACAAAGCUACAGUAAUCAAGACAGUGUGGUACCAGUACCAAAAUAGACAUACAGGGAGUUCCCGUUGUGGCGCAGUGGUUAAUGAAUCCGACUAGGAACCAUGAGGUGGCAGGUUCGGUCCCUGCCCUUGCUCAGUGGGUUAACGAUCCGGUGUUGCCGUGAGCUGUGGUGUAGGUUGCAGACGCGGCUCGGAUCCUGCAUUGCUGUGGCUCUGGAGUAGGCUGGGAGCUACAGCUCCAAUUCAACCCCUAGCCUGGGAAUCUCCAUAUGCCGCGGGAGCGGCCCAAGAAAUAGC